AAAAAUUAGCCAGGCGUGGUGGCCCACGCCUGUAAUCACAGCUACUCGGGAGGCUGAGGAUUAUAACCAAAACAGAUGUGUGAGAGGUGACAGAGAGAAGAGGCCAUUGGUCUCAAUAAGAAUGCCCUACUUUCUGCAUCUCUGUUUCAGAAGACCAAGAGGGUGACUUUCCAGGCUGAGUAUUUCUGGGGACAAUACAAGUACCUGGGCAUGAAUUUCCAUUUUGAUUCAGAUGGGACUGGAAACAACCAUUCAAUUUUAUGAAUCUUACUGGACAUUAUGGAUCUACUGGAAUUAUUCCAGACGUUAUGCCCUUUGGUUGUCAUUACCUUGCAAAUGUGUAAGAGGAAAAUGUGCUAAUAUGGCAGUGACUGUAAAACUGGCACAUGGCAUUUAUUAAUCCUGAAGAAAAGUAUGUGUACUGUUUUUCAGUAUAAAUAUAACGAACAUGUUAGAACUAUUUCUUGAAAACCUUUUUAUUACUUUUGCGUGAAUUUAUUUAACAAAGAUGUUUUGUCUUCUGUGUAAGGGAGGUUCUAGAGGCUAGAUAUUUAAUUGUAAAUAUGUGAGGAAACUCAAUGCAGAAUUCAGGAUAAAAAUUUUAAAAGCACAGGUAUUUGGGAAUUGAAAUGUUAAGAUACCCAGAACAACAUUAAAUUGAUGAGUGAACUUGUGACAGUGGUAGCAUUUCAAAUUUCAAAAGACUUAUCCUGUAUAUAUAUAUAUAUAUAUAUAUAUACACAUAUAUAUAUAAUAUUCAGCAACACCAAGUUUUAUAACUGUUGUUUGAUUUAUUAAUACUAGAAUAUGUAGUCUCAGCCUUAAUUUUACAUUUACAUUAUUUUGUAAUUUUUUAUUACUAUUUUUAAGGGGUUAAGGAGAACAUACAUUCUCACAUUAAUGUACUUUCUGGUAGAAAGUUGCUGCAAAAACAUUUGAAAUGUAUAUUAACUCAACCUAAUGUAUGUCAUAUAUAUGUCUUUGUGUAAGUUCAAGACUAUUAAUCUGUGAAGUUAUUUUGUAAGGACAUGCAUUUGGUAAGUUUGUGUCCCAGGAAAUGUUGUGUGUUUUUAAACCCUUUCUAAAUAUGCAGGCCGUUAAUAAAUAAGAUUGUUUCUUCCCUACUGAA